rnacentral:rRNA from 1 species
UACGUAGGGGGCAAGCGUUGUCCGGAUUUAUUGGGCGUAAAGAGCGUGUAGGCGGCCAAACAGGUCAGCUGUGAAAACUCGAGGCUCAACCUCGAGACGUCGGUUGAAACCGUUUGGCUAGAGUCCGGAAGAGGAGAGUGGAAUUCCCGGUGUAGCGGUGAAAUGCGCAGAUAUCGGGAAGAACACCCGUGGCGAAGGCGGCUCUCUGGGACGGUCCUGACGCUGAGACGCGAAAGCGUGGGGAGCGAACAGG